ACUGGUGUGGUGAUGGUUGUCAUUCCAAAGACCUCAGCAGCAGCCUCUGGGUCAAAGGGUCCUUCCUUUGCAGCAGAAGCUAGAGCUCUCCCUUUGUCAGAACAGCUGCUGGGCACAGGCUGCCCCCAAGGACUAAAUCAGACUUCAAGACUUCUAUCUGUUCUUGUGGCUACAUUCAAAGAUGGCCUUUAGCAAAAUGGAGAAGUUGAGAAGUUGGCCAAACUCGUCCUCCUAAAUGUCCCUGUCUCUUUUCAACACCCCGUCUUCUAUCCUGGAGCUCUCACUCAUCA
rnacentral:lncRNA from 1 species